GGGAGUGGGGUAGGGGCUACCCUAGACCUAGGGUAUAAACUCGACCGCCGCCAUAUAUGUGCAGCUCAUGCCCCACGGUCCCUCCUCCCCGCAGACCCAGUGUUCCCCCGCCUUUUGAUUCCCACGGCCAAACGCUCCUCGGCCACCUCUGUGGCGUGAUCCGUCGUCGCUGCGCAAAGCCAUCGCCGCCAGGGUCGCUCUGCCACGUCGCCGACCGGGUGCCAGAUUCACGCCGUGUUUGUUGUGUGCCGGGGAAUUCUUCCGCCGCGGAGUAACCUCACCGUCGUUCCGUGAUUCCAGGGCUGAUCCGGGGCCAGUGCGGGGUUCCGGGCGUUCGCGUGGGUGUAACACGAGAGUUCAUGUGACAGUUGGGUCCAGUACUGGCACCGGGCGUCGACGAUUUCUCACCGGAGCACUCAACUCCGUCGUAAAUCCGCCUGGUCCGCGGACAGCUUUGCGCCCACCGUUUUCUCUGGUAAAAUUCCUCACCCUAACUCUGCCUUGAUCUCCUCUACGUGUUGCACACGCUGGGUUGUUGUUUGGAGCACUACGGCGUGAGGGGUGGCUUGCCGGCAAUGGCGCCGCCGCCCCUGGUUACUGGCGCCACCGUGGCACGGCUGGUGUUGGGGGGAAACACCCUGGUCGUCCGAUCCUCAUUGAACGGGAUAGAUUAGAUCGACGAUAACCUUUCGGCUCUUUAAAUCUAGUCCGUAGAAAUGUGAUCGGAGGGCUACGGUUGUUUUAAAUUCGGUCCGUUGAUGGUAGAUCCAAGCGCCUAGAAUGCAUCAUGGUUCGUCAUAGCCGGCUUUUAAUCUGGGCCGUCCGGUUUCUAUCCUGCAGCCAGGGAUCCACCAUACCCGUUCGCCGUAGGCAUUUUACACAAGAGUCCCUGAGAAAUAUAAGAAUCAACCCGCAGUCCUUGCGCUAGGAGCUCUGUGUCUUAGGAAAAUUUAUGUAGAGGCCCCUAUGUUUUCUGUAAAUGGUGAACUCAGUCCAGAGAACAAAAAAUCAAAAGAAUUCAUUUAGAAAAUACAUUUUUGUGUGAAAAUAAUUAUAGGAACUUAAUUAAUUCCUAGAAAAUACAUUUUAACUCCUUUUCAGUCCAUUCCAAUUUCUAUAAUUUUGUAAUAAUGUUGUUUAUCACCUAUUGCCUCUGUUUUGACAUGAAAACAAUAAUAAAAUUGAUCUCCUAAUUAAUCUCAUAUCAAAUACAUAAAAUCAUUAGAAAUUCAUAACUUAAAAUCUAUGACUCCGAUUGGACCCGUUCAAGUUGAGUUAGUCUCGUAUAAAUAUUUACUAUGCAAUAACAAUAUUUAUUAUACCAUGUCUCAUUAUUUUGUAAUUAGAUUUCUAUUUAACUUAUGUUGGUUAGUCUUGUUAAUGUGCUUAUCAUUAUAAUCUACUAGAAUAUGAUCUAAGGUCAAAUUAUAAUUUUGAUUAAAGUUGAGAUAAUUAUUUAUAGAAUAACCUCUUAUAUGAUUUAUAUUAACCAAUUUAUAAUAUAGUUCAAUAUUUUAAUCACAUAAAUCCUCUAUGAAAUCAUACUUUUUAAUCGUAACUCCAAUUUUAGUGGUUCUCAUUCCUACGAUCUCGUAGCGACGCGUAGAUCAUUAUUAUUCAGUUUGUACUUAUGUUUGGUGUGAUGUUAAUUUUUUCUAUACCAUGUUUGUUUGUAUUGCUACGACUGGCAUGAUGUCACGAGGAUCUGAAGAAUCAUUCUGGUACCUGGAAUCUCAAGUCCCAGGCAAGUUGUGCCCUUGACCACUUUUG
rnacentral:lncRNA from 1 species